GUGCUCACUUCAGCAGCACAUACACUAAAAUUGGAAUGAGACAGAGAAGAUUAGCAUGGCCACUGUGUAAGGGUGACACACAAAUUUGUGAAGAAUUCUGUAUUUUU
ensembl:snRNA U6 U6 spliceosomal RNA